rfam:Pseudomonas fluorescens F113, complete genome.
GGGUUUAACUCCUGCUUGUUACCGUUUCAUCCGGUCGAAACCGAAUGUCGUUUUGGUGUCUGAUUCGGUAAGGAACCGGGAGCACCAUCUGCGUAGGCUUGUGGUUUAAGACUUGCGUCGCCUACGGUCUUGGACAGCCCCCGCCAGGCAGGGACCCCAAUUUUUUGAUUGGCGCAAUUACUUGCGCCA